rnacentral:rRNA from 1 species
UACGUAGGGUGCGAGCGUUGUCCGGAAUUACUGGGCGUAAAGAGCUCGUAGGUGGUUUGUCGCGUUGUUCGUGAAAACCGGGGGCUUAACCUUCGGCGUGCGGGCGAUACGGGCAGACUGGAGUACUGCAGGGGAGACUGGAAUUCCUGGUGUAGCGGUGGAAUGCGCAGAUAUCAGGAGGAACACCGGUGGCGAAGGCGGCGUUCUGGACUGUCUCUGACACUGAAGAACGAAAGCCAGGGGAGCAAACGGG